rnacentral:rRNA from 1 species
UACGGAGGAUGCAAGCGUUAUCCGGAAUUAUUGGGCGUAAAGCGUCCGUAGGUGGCUAAGCAAGUCUGCUGUUAAAGAGCGGAGCUAAACUCCGUAAAGGCGGUGGAAACUGCAUAGCUAGAGUGUGGUAGGGGUAGAGGGAAUUCCCAGUGUAGCGGUGAAAUGCGUAGAUAUUGGGAAGAACACCGGUGGCGAAGGCGCUCUACUGGGCCACAACUGACACUGAUGGACGAAAGCUAGGGGAGCGAAAGGG